UGUCAGCUAGUGUAGGAGCCAAAGCCCUACUUACUGAAAUAAUUCCAAAAUGGUGAAUUCCUACCAAUAUCUGAAGUAUAGUGGUUUGCAUUCAAAAUGCAAAAUGUUUACAUUUGACAAAAGCUCUGCUUAUUGUACUGAGGUAUAGAAUGUGCAAGCGACUUGACCUGUCACCCUUUUGAGAUUUUGUUUACAGCACCUCCACACAUUGGACUUGGGUAAAGAGGACACCCACCAGACACACCACAGUGUGAGGACCAACUGCUGCAGGACCAGUAAAAACUGUCUGGAGGUACGGACCAGCAGACGGACUGAGAAGGAGGGGGGGGUGAGAGACCAUUCUGCUCUGACACAUCUGACGCAUUGUGAAGUCUUUCUCAUAUCUGAUAUAUCUGAUCUUGGUGUGAUGUGGAACAGAACCUAACUCUUUGGGGAGCUCAUAUUGUUUUUGGACAUUGAAGGAGAUGACAUCCAGAGAGACCUGCAGAAAUCCACCAUGGGCAUAUAUGUCAUCAACAAGGAGGGUGGAGAAAUUGGAGCUCAUGAUGACAUUGGCAUUUAUGUGAUGCUGGGAGUCAUGUAUGUACUGAACAUGGCUUACCCCAAAGAGCUGAAAUACUCCUAUGAAUUCAUUCAGAAAGUGCUCUUGCAAAUGGAUGGUGAAAGGCUUUCCCCCAAAGUCCUUGGACUAAAGAACAAAAUCAUUGCUGGACUGUAGGAUUUCUUCAGCCGCUCUUGUGAACCCUGCUAAGGCGUUACGGUGUUUCGAACUGAAAAACAGUGAAUGGUGGACUGUAAUAUUCACACAGCCACUGGUGUGAACAUUUAAAACUGUACAAUGGAUUUUGUGGAAUAUUCACCUGAAAUAAAAAUUGCAAUCCUGGAAAUAAGAGCACAAAAUUCAUCCAUCCACUACCGCCAUAUGAAUAUUAGAAGUUAAGCGCCUUGAGAGGAACAGUUGGUGGUGGCUGUGCCAUUAAACCAUUGCAUAAGAAGAGUACACAACAAGAUGUUAAAAGAGCUCUGGUCAAAGUUCAAACGGUGGAGAACCAUGUGGAAAACAUGGUGAAAUUAUAACAUUUAUGUUAUUUUCAUGUAUUAAUGUGAGGAAGGUUACAGCCACCUUUGUUUUCAUUUGCCAAUAUUUUUUAUUCUUGGAGGAACUUAAGCUUCAGUGGAUGUUUACGUCACAUGUUUCAUGUACAUCAUGAUGUAUUCAGUAAGUCUGUUUCCAUAUUGAUACACCAACUUUUGCACCUCAGCUAAGCAUAAAAUCUAUUUUGCGAUAUUAUGGUCUUUUCUUCUAUUACGCUAUUCUUUGAAUCUAAGUGUUUGCUGUUUUUUGUAAUCUCAGCAUCAGGUCCUCAGUGUGUGAUGUGUUCCAGCUGUGGAUGGUUCUGGUACUAUAGUAUUUUUUGUUAUGUAUAGUACUGGUGUAUUUUGUCAUUUGUAGAUUUUGUGCUCUUGCAAAUGGGUGGAAAAGGGUUUCCUCAAAGUCCUUUUGACUAAAGAACAAAAUCAGUGCUGGACUGUAGGCUUUCUUCAGCUGCUAUUGUGAACCCUUUUAAGCUGCAUUGGUAUUGUGUGUUUAGGGGGUGAUAAAGCACAUUUCAUAUAAUGUGAAAUGCAGCUCUAGAAUAUGUUAAGUAAAGAACAAAGUGAGUGGUGAAAUAGGUGCUUGUUUUGUGGAAAAUUGGGUAUUAUAUUGACUCAAUGUACGUGUUUGCAGUUUAUUGUAAUCUCAAAUUGGGUCUUCCAGCUAUUGUGGUACAUUUGUUGUUUUUUGUUAUGAAUGGUACAUUGUUUUUUUUAUGAUAAUGGUUGAUAGUGGUAACAAUUUCUUACAUUGCUAUCUUAUAACAAAAUGUACUGAGUUACAUUACUGGCACUCUUGUUUGGGAGAGAGUAAAUCUGUUGGAUCUCUUGGUCUUGGAUCAAGAAAAUAAAGUAAGAGUUGACAAUA